rnacentral:rRNA from 1 species
UACGGAGGGUGCAAGCGUUAUCCGGAUUCACUGGGUUUAAAGGGUGCGUAGGUGGGGAGGUAAGUCAGCGGUGAAAUCCCCGAGCUUAACUUGGGAACUGCCAUUGAUGCUAUCUCUCUUGAAUAUCUUGGAGGUGAGCGGAAUAUGUCAUGUAGCGGUGAAAUGCUUAGAUAUGACAUAGAACACCAAUUGCGAAGGCAGCUCACUACACGGUAAUUGACACUGAGGCACGAAAGCGUGGGGAUCAAACAGG